rnacentral:rRNA from 1 species
AUUGAACGCUGGCGGAAUGCUUUACACAUGCAAGUCGAACGGUAACAGGCCUUCGGGUGCUGACGAGUGGCGAACGGGUGAGUAAUGCAUCGGAACGUGCCCAAUCGUGGGGGAUAACGUAGCGAAAGUUACGCUAAUACCGCAUAAGCCCUGAGGGGGAAAGCAGGGGAUCGCAAGACCUUGCGCGAUUGGAGCGGCCGAUGGCAGAUUAGGUAGUUGGUGGGGUAAAGGCUCACCAAGCCUUCGAUCUGUAGCUGGUCUGAGAGGACGACCAGCCACACUGGGACUGAGACACGGCCCAGACUCCUACGGGAGGCAGCAGUGGGGAAUUUUGGACAAUGGGCGAAAGCCUGAUCCAGCCAUUCCGCGUGCAGGAUGAAGGCCCUCGGGUUGUAAACUGCUUUUGUACGGAACGAAACGGCCUUUUCUAAUACAGAGGGCUAAUGACGGUACCGUAAGAAUAAGCACCGGCUAACUACGUGCCAGCAGCCGCGGU